rnacentral:rRNA from 1 species
UGGGGAAUAUUGCACAAUGGGCGCAAGCCUGAUGCAGCCAUGCCGCGUGUGUGAAGAAGGCCUUCGGGUUGUAAAGCACUUUCAGCGAGGAGGAAGGCAUAAAGGUUAAUAACCUUUGUGAUUGACGUUACUCGCAGAAGAAGCACCGGCUAACUCCGUGCCAGCAGCCGCGGUAAUACGGAGGGUGCAAGCGUUAAUCGGAAUUACUGGGCGUAAAGCGCACGCAGGCGGUUUGUUAAGUCAGAUGUGAAAUCCCCGCGCUUAACGGGGGAACUGCAUUUGAAACUGGCAAGCUAGAGUCGUGUAGAGGGGGGUAGAAUUCCAGGUGUAGCGGUGAAAUGCGUAGAGAUCUGGAGGAAUACCGGUGGCGGAGGCGGCCCCCUGGACAAAGACUGACGCUCAGGUGCGAAAGCGUGGGGAGCAAACA